UACCAAGAUCGAUCCUACGGGAGGCAGCAGUGGGGAAUAUUGGACAAUGGGCGCAAGCCUGAUCCAGCCAUACCGCGUGGGUGAAGAAGGCCUUCGGGUUGUAAAGCCCUUUUGUUGGGAAAGAAAAGCAGUCGAUUAAUACUCGGUUGUUCUGACGGUACCCAAAGAAUAAGCACCGGCUAACUUCGUGCCAGCAGCCGCGGUAAU
rnacentral:rRNA from 1 species